rnacentral:snRNA from 1 species
GGACGUGAGGGCAAUCUGGCUGUGACAUCUGUCACCCCACUGAUUGCCAGGGUUGGUUCAGCUGCUCCGGCUGCCUAGGCAGGUGUCCCCUUCCUCCCUCUCCACUCCAUGUGUGUCCCACCCAAAGCUGCACGCUUGGUCAAAGAGGAUGACCUUCCCCGAUAGAGGAGGACUGGUCUUCGGUCAAGGGUAUACCAGUAGCCGUGCUCCCCUGCUAAACCCUCCAAACAAGCUCUCAAGAAUUACAUCUAUCAAAUCCAACAGGUAGAACUGUGAACUGUGCUCUGGAGGCGCUGAAUAAUAGCAGCAAUAAGAUUAAUACUGAAAAGAAACAAGUGGCAUUAACUU